UAGUCAAUGCUCGCAAGAGUGAACUAGCUAACUGAAAUCCUUGGUGUGUCCUCAAGGAUAACGUAAGGGAAAAUAAUGAUAUUACCUUACUAUUAGUGUCGUCCAAGUGCUCGUGCCAGAAGACUCGGUAAGGCGAGAGACGCAAACGUUAUUCGUCUUGAUCAGGCGUAAAGGGUAUGUAGGCGGUUUUAAGUAUUCACAAAUAAAGUUUAUAAUUAUUAUAAUACUAACAAAACAAAAAAGUGUUAUAAUUUUAAAAACAGAAUCAAUUAAAGCUAGAAUCUAAGAGAGGUUAAAACAAUACUUAUGGUAGGUGUACCAACCUAAGAUAAUAAGUAGAGUUUUAAGGGCGAAGGCAUUUACCCACUAAAGAUUGACGCUGAGAAACGAAGGUGAGGAAAGAAAAAAGGAUUAGAGACCCUUGUAUCCCUCACUGUCAACGAUGAAUGGUAGUUACUAGUAAGAAAUAAACUAGAGGCGAUGUUAACACGUAAACCAUUCCGCCUUGUGAGUACGACUGCAAAGUUGAAAACAAAAAAAUUAGUCGGUUUCGGAGCAAACGAAGUGAAGCAUGUUAUUU
rnacentral:rRNA from 1 species